CAGAGAGCCGAAACCGAAAACACCCGCGGCCGGCGCAGGGGGCGCUAGGAGCGCGCGCGCGCGCAUGCGCGGACGGGUGGAGCAGAGGGCGCGCGCGCGUCGCCUCACUCAGUUUCUCUGGGACCGUCGCGGAAGACGGACGUGCGCUCCGCGCGCUCGCUCAUUUUCUGGCUGGCUCUCGUAGAGAGCAGACGUGUGUGUUCUCCGCACUGGCUCAGUUUCUGCCUGGAAGUUGCCGCGGGGGAAAAGAGCUAUGAUAGUGGCGCCAUCUGGUGUGAUGCCUUGCAACUAAGUGGCCACCUGUCGUCGAUCUCUGCAACUACCAGUCGUCAACAAGCAACAUGGCGGGCGCUGGUCACUCGGGUGUUGCGGAGCGGGUUCUUCGCCGCGGCAUCGAUGAUUUUCGAAUAAAUUGUUUCUCUCCACUCUA